UUUGUGCUCGUACUAGCAGAGCAAAAAUGGCGUAGGAGCGGAGGGUGAAGGAAGGAGAGGACCUUCUUCUCUCCCCCCUCGCCGUGUCCAGGAGAGGAGAGAAGGGGGUCCGCAACUUUGAAGUUUUCCUACAAAAUUGUCGAGUCGUCUUAUGAGAAUAAAGCUGGCAGUCCUGCAGGUGAGGAGGACUCUUAAUGUGUCACCGCAGAGGAAGGAUCUCCCCGGCUUUUGUUUACCAUUGUGUGCGGCAGCAGCUCGGAGGAACAGAGGAAAUAUUUCUACAUCAUUUCACACUGAGGCAGAGAGACGGAGCCGAUCCCGGGAGAAGACCCAGAACCUCCACUUCUGCCGAGCCCAAGAGAACUGUAGCUAAGCUAACCUUCUUUUGGGUUGCUUUCUGGAACAAUGGAUAUCGCUCUCUCUUCCACAGCAUUCCCAUUUGUCCUGACCUCUUUCUGCAGACUAGUCAUCAGCGAGGACCGCUCGCAACAUUUCAGAUUUACAAAGUUUUAAAGCCGUCCAACCUUGGAGAUGAAAACUAUGACAUAAAACCUGGUGUAACGACACCUGUUUAAUUUGUUUAAAGAAACGGGUGAAAUCCGGGUGACGCUUAUGAAAACGGAGUUGCUUUUCAACCGCACAAGAGGUUUGAUAAUGAGCAAACUGUUUGUUUUUUUUCUCCGAAGAAAGUAAAGACACAACAUACUGUAGCAAAGAUCAAACGCCUGUGAUACAAAUUAAGAUUCGUUGAUUCAUUUUCCUUUCUUUUCAACUACCUCAUUGUCACAGUAAGUCCAACGGGAUUGAGAGGAGCGUUUUCUGAACAAAGCAUGGCGUUACGGAGCACCACAGCAUUCAUCUUUGUCUGUCCAUCAAUGUUUCAGUAUUGACAUCAGGUAGUUGGCAGGAGAACAGAAGGUAAAUAUGCUGUUGCUUAUAUUCAGCAUUAGUUUUGUUAGUUAGGAGGAUUYCUUAAACGUCUUGCCUAGGCAUGAACUGGUAUGUUUUUAUAGAUGGCACAGUAUUGCUACAAAAAUCUGAAACCAAAAUGGAUAUUUAGGAGACAACUGCUUUUAUUUUACCAAAAAUAUUUAGGUMGCUGACAAUAUACAGCUAAAUUUGGACUCCUAAUAAGCAUUGGGAAAAGCCCCUGUCAGAUUACAGUGUGCAGCAACGUGUGGGGGAGGGGCGUGGCUAGAAAUCUCUGUUUAGAGCUCUUUUUCUGGCAUCUCGUUAAAAGCAUUUUAGUGUUUUUUUUGUGUGUUUUUUUUAAAUUCAGUCUUUAAAAUGUUCAUACUAGGGAUGCACGAUAUAUCGGCGCCAACAUCAGUAUCAGCCGAUAUUAGUAAUUUUUUAACAUCUAGGUAUCGGUCUGAUAAAUAAAACUGGGUGGAUGUUAACAACCGAAAUUUAUUUCCAUCUUGUUGCCGUUUUUCUGGUGAGGGAGGAGAUUGGUCAUGUGAURGUGACACMGCACAGGAUUGUGGGAAGUUUAACCGAAGCAGAGAAUGAGCGAAGUUGGCGGUAAAUAUCAGUUAWYUGCCAAAAUGGUAGUAUUAAGAUCGGGUAUUGGUAUCAACCCAAAAGUUCACAUCGGUGCAUCCCUGCUUAGUACCUUGAUGCYAAUAUCCGGCUCAUGCCUAGCCGUGUCUGCGUAGCAUCAAGAGUUUACAUCUCACACUUCCUGCAGCUUAUAAAUGGUUUCCCCUUUUUGUUUUAUUUUUUAUUUUUUCUUGCCAUAUACAUGUAUAGGGAAAACAACAAGAACAACAACAACAGAAUUACACUUUACCGGGAUCUGUGCAAUAUUUGAUCUUAACUGUCAUGUUGUUGACCAAACUGUAUAUUGUAUAAAACAAGUGACAAGUUGUUUGAAAGCAACAAAAUCACCAAUGUCUUCCAUUAAGAUAUGUAUAGACUCAUGUGCGUUAGCUUAUUUAGCGGGACUGUGGUGCCAAAAAACAUCAUAGUAGCCAUGCAUGACCAGUAGUAAUGCUUGCUUCAUCAAGAGUAUCGAUUUGUAGGCCGAGCUGAAGCUCAAAUCUGUGGAGUCCAUUUCGGUAAAAACUAGGGAGCAUUAGCCUCAUAUACUUUAAAAAAAACUUCUARGUAMGUCAAAUUUAGAUACCGCUCUAACCUAAAAUCUAGUGCUUGAGCUCUGUUUUAAGGCAUGUAUAUGCUAGUAGGAAAUAUAUAGCAUGACACAGUUGGGAUACACCGUUACAAAGAGGUGCACCAAUUAUGGCUUUUGUAUGUCUUUGACCUGCCAACAUCAAUUUCAAUCUUUUAUGACUUCUCUUGACCUGUAACAUGAGAWAAUAUAACAGCAUUCAAAAUAUUUUAUUUCUAGCCUUCCUGUCAUGAUUGGAGAUUGAUUGCGUGUAGUAAGAGCCGUGGCAGUGUCACAUUGUCUGUGAAAGAGGAGUCGCUGUAGAAUAGGGUUUGCAAGUAUUUUAAAGUGAAGUUUAAGGAUUUUAGCUCUUACCAUUGUUAGAACAGCUAGCAUUACAGAAACAGCAUUAAUUGUAUGUAUUACUCACAGAGAGCGUAGAUUCAUACGUCAGCUCUUAAGGCUUAAAGCUCAAAAGGAUAAGAUAGCAACGUUGCUCUACUCUGUUCAGCAUUCCUGUUUUCCGCUGAAGUCUGGCUCUCUCUUGCCGGACUGCAGCCGUUGAGAGAGCUGUAMACUAUGAAUGAGUCACAGACUACGGCUGCAUUUCCAUGAACCAUAUAAUUGCGCAAUUUGACAUUUUGAAAAUAAAUUUGCUUAAUGGAAACACGGCACUUUUGAGAAAGCUCUCGUUUUUCGAUAAAAAGCUGUGUUUCUAGGAUGAGGCAGUGUUUUGGCCGUAGAAAAAUUGGUUUAUUUCGCAAAACUGCGAUURAAAUACUUUCUUCAAAUCACCCAAGUCAUGUGAUGAUCACCAACCGGAUGAACAAACUUAUUCACAUGUGAUAUUAAUUGCAUGUCAUAUUUAAUGUAAACUUUUUUUUUAUUCAUUAGCAUAAUAGCAACAAAAUUCUGCGCACAUUUGGAAUGGAAACGMAGCUUAUGGUGAAUUYGCUGACUGGAAAGUUUGGAUUUUCCAAAAGUGGAUCUCUUGGUGCACCUCUACACGUAUUAAUGUUUGUUUUGUUUUUUAAACCACAUUGUAAUCUGUAAAGUUUAASAUAAGAACCAAAAARAUUUAUUCGAGAACCUAGUCUCAAAUGGGACAAUCUUUACAUAAAUGAUUUAGGAGGAGGACCUUAAAUCCCUAACUCKGCAUCUUGGAUAGGUGAUGCUGUUACAAUCCUCAUCGUGAAAUUGUACAAGUGACCUCAUAGUUUUGGGAUUCAGAGCGUUCUAUUUUAAUCCACAUAAUUGUAUUUAAUUAGAUUUUUUAGAAGCAAUAACCUGAAAUAAUGCAUGAAUAUAGCUCCAAGAGUUGGUGUUAAAAGGACUGUGUUAACAUCUCAUUGAAAAUCCCCCCUUUCCCUUGCUAUGUCUUUGAACUAGCAACAUGUUAGCCACUCAUUUCCUUUUACUGUAUCUUUAUUUUUUAGCCUCAUUUAGUUUUAGUCGUUAUUGAAAAUGAAAAAGGCUUUAAAUUUGAACUCUUGUAGCAUCCACGAAGACCCUCUCCUCGUCUGCGAGUUGCAGACUUAAGAAUAAACGCGGCAGCAAAAAGAACUAGCCGAACGACGCUAGCGUGAAAAGCACUUUCCAYGUAUCACCUUGCACCGCCCAUCGUCACCGUCACGUCUUGAAUGCUGUGUUCAGGCAACCMUGUAAUGUUCUUUCUGGUGAUUUAUAAUCCCAAUUUAUGAGCAAGUAGACGUCCAGGUGAUAUGAAUUUGUGGGUUUUAAAAAAAUAUGCAUGAUUUAGCAGAAUAACGAAUGAAUUGUAUUGCAUGCAAUAACCUAACCUUGUAAUGUGAAUGAGUGUAAGUAUAGAGGGAGUGGUGGGGGGGGUGGGGUACUAUGAUUUUCCAAUCCAACUGAAGGUAACGCCGACGGUUUUAUCGAUUAGCUGCGAUAUAUAUACAUAUAAUAUAGGGGGAAAAACAGCACUAAAAGAAGGAAUUGGUCAGUUUCUGUGUUUUUUCCUGUGUCACAUGCCAUCUGGCAGUACCACUACAGUGCAGCUCUGCAAUUCUUGUUCCCAUGAGGAAAACGUAGCAACAAAAGCUUUGGCGAGAUUCCUGAAAUUACUUUGUUGCUCAACUUUUCCACUGAGAUGGUGGGCUGUAUAGGAACUAUGCACUCCAGAGGGAGGAAACGGGCAUGCCUAAUAUGUGUGAGCCUCUUGUCUGGUUUUGUAAUAAAUGAAUAAAAAUAAAUCUGUAUCAGAAAAUUUUAAGCAAUAAACAGCAGCAUGGUGCCAAUUGAA